GGCCGUGCCCUUCAGUAGGUCUUCUCUGUCAAAGUCAGGUCUGACAAGAAGAGUGGAAGCAAAACUGUGCAUCGGGGACAUUUGCAUAGAGGAGCCUAGACUCUUCCAGCUGGCAGAAGCAGGUGCUCCCUCCUCAUGAGGGCUGAAGGAUCAUCCCUUGCUUGAGAGUGUGCAGGCUCACUGGAAGGUGCUUCCAGAAUGACACCUGUGGUGGAGGUUACUUUAAGGGCCACCAUGAUGUCCCCUGAAUUCAGAAGCUUUUCAAUUUUAUGAGGUCCCAUUUGUCAAUUCUGCAAGACUCCACCCUCAGCCCUUCCAGCAUAUGAUAAUCAGGAAAGAGACGAGUAAAAAAGCUGACGUGAGCCAGAAGAUGGAUCAGCAGUGAGAGGUUUUCAGAUCAACUCCUUGAGAAGGAUGCGAAGCUCCAUCCUCUCAGAGUGGAAGGCGCUCCUACUAUCUGUCCUUCAAAG
ensembl:lncRNA